rnacentral:rRNA from 1 species
UACGUAGGGGGCUAGCGUUGUCCGGAAUCAUUGGGCGUAAAGCGCGCGUAGGCGGCCCGGUAAGUCCGCUGUGAAAGUCAAAGGCUCAACCUUUGAAUGUCAGCGGAUACUGCCGGGCUAGAGUCCGGAAGAGGCGAGUGGAAUUCCUGGUGUAGCGGUGAAAUGCGCAGAUAUCAGGAAGAACACCCGUGGCUAAGGCGGCUCUCUAGUACGGUACUGACGCUGAGACGCGAAAGCGUGGGGAGCAAACAGG